GAUGAACGCUGGCGGCGUGCCUAAUACAUGCAAGUCGAGCGAACGGACGAGAAGCUUGCUUCUCUGAUGUUAGCGGCGGACGGGUGAGUAACACGUGGAUAACCUACCUAUAAGACUGGGAUAACUUCGGGAAACCGGAGCUAAUACCGGAUAAUAUUUUGAACCGCAUGGUUCAAAAGUGAAAGACGGUCUUGCUGUCACUUAUAGAUGGAUCCGCGCUGCAUUAGCUAGUUGGUAAGGUAACGGCUUACCAAGGCAACGAUGCAUAGCCGACCUGAGAGGAUGAUCGGCCACACUAGAACUGAGACACGGUCCAUACUCCUACGGGAGGCAGCAGUAGGGAAUCUUCCGCAAUGGGCGAAAACCUGACGGAACAACGCCGCGUCAGUUAUGAAGGUCUUCGGAUCGUAAAACUCUGUUAUUAGGGAAGAACAUAUGUGUAAGUAACUGUGCACAUCUUGACGGUACCUAAUCAGAAAGCCACGGCUAACUACGUG
rnacentral:rRNA from 1 species